UUAUUAUUUCCGAAAAAAAUAAAGCAAAAAAAGGAAAAGAUAAUGAGUAUGGCGGUGAGUUGCCUAUAUAAUAACUCCCCUGUUCUCUUGCAUCCCUCAUCUCCUAAAUAAACCCUAUACCUAAUUUACCUCUAUCAAUAGCCGCCUCUGUAACAAUAAUUCUCUGUUAUAUCACUCCUUCUUGAAUUUCAAUGGCCGUGCUAUGAAAAUGAAAGAAUAUCUUUCUUCUUUCACUAUACACCACCGUAUCUGUAAAGCCAGAACCUCUAUGUCUAACAAUUUGAUCCGAUUUGAAGAAAUUCAAUCUGAUGAGAUUGCCUUUGCAACACAGGUCACACUUCUAUUGAUAUUUUAGUGUCCCGUACUUUCAAUCGAGUCGGUCACGUGUUUACAUGUGAUCGAGGAAAUCUGAUCCCUGGAUUUUUAGGUGGCGUAUUUACCUACACCACUCUCAUAAAGGGACUGAUUUCCCAGGACAUGAAUGCAAUUGUGCAUGUGUAUCGGCUCGGUUGUUGAGUUCUAUGUUCUGCUGGGACCUGAUUGAGUAAAUUGAUAAGAUAGGCGAGGCUGAGUAUUUGUUUAGUGGCUGAGCAUUUAUUUAGGAAGCUUAUCAGAUUUCAAGAAACUCAAUCAGACAAUUUGAUCUGAGAGGCUGAGCUUAUGUUCAAAAACUGAACAUUUGUUCAGACGCUUAUCAGAUUUCGAGAAAUUUAAUCAUAUGAUUUGAUCCGAGAGGCUGAGCUUAUGUUCAAAAACUGAACAUUUGUUCAGACGCUUAUCAGAUUUCAAGAAAUACAGACGGCGGCAAAUUGAAAGAAGAAGAGGCUGAGCUUUUGUUCAAAUACCGAAUAUUUGUUAAAGUACAUGUCAGAUAUUCAGGCUGAGUUUGUUCAGAUGCUGGAUUUUUAUUUUUGUAUUAGCUAGAUUUGUUUAUGUUUGUUCCUUGUAAUAUAGAUUAUUAUUGAAACAAGUAAUGAUAUUUUUUUUUUGCUCGGGCUGGUUUUGUCUUGCUGGGUUUAAUAUCAAUGUUGUGAUAAUUAAGCUUUUGUUCAUUUUUGUUCUGGUAUUCUCGAGAUUUUGAUACAAAUGAGCAGCAGAUUUUUGUUUCCAGCUUGAUAAAGUUCUGUAGCAGCACCAAUUUGUGUCAAUUCUUGAGCCCCUAGCAUCUGCAAACUAUAGUCGUACUUGUAUACUCUCGCCGCUAAAUUUUUC
rnacentral:lncRNA from 1 species